rnacentral:lncRNA from 1 species
UUUUUUUUUUUUUUUUUACAAAAAGGUGUACGACGAAGGAUUAUAUUAAUUUUUUUUCGCGAUUAAUUUUUUGUACAUUCAUGCUUAUAUAUAUAGUAAGUUGUUAAAUGUGUUUAUAUAAAUAUAAUUUUUUUUUAAAUUUGCAUUUUUUUUUUUUACAAUUUUACAAAACUGGAACAUUUAAAUAUUCGAAAUAUUCCAUUUAUUUAUGUACGUAUGUUUUUAUUCAUAAUAACAUGAACGUUAUUAAUACUUUCUUCACAUGGAUAAACAAUAACAUUUUUAACAACUUUUCAUAAAUUUUAUAAUUUUGUCAUACAAUGAAUGAAAGUUCUAAUAAUGGAAGUGCUGAAACAUGUUUUCAUCUUAAUAAACCACAUAAAAAAAAAAAAGAAAAAAAGAAAUGGAAAAAAAUAUUAUAUGAAGACCAAGGUUACAAAGACAACUAUGUUCAUAACAGCUUUCUAAACUCACUUUUAACGAAUUUUGGGGUGAAAUAUAAUUAUUUUCACGUUUGUCAUAGCAUGCUAUGUGUGAAUCAUCAAAUAAUAGUUGUUUUAUUCCUAGUACUAUCCUAUUAUUGCAUAGAUAAUAAUAUUACAUCAGAUAAAUUUAUAUACACAGUCAAUAUAACCAUUAUAAUUUUGAAAGAAAUACUAAUUUACUCUGAGCAUCAUUCAUUUAAUAGUAAUUAAAAAAAAAGAAACUAAAAGAACAAAAAAAAAAAAAAAUGAAUUGACGUAAAACUAAAAUAAAACGAAUAAUAAAAAACA